rnacentral:rRNA from 1 species
GGAGGCAGCAGUAGGGAAUUUUCGGCAAUGGACGGAAGUCUGACCGAGCAACGCCGCGUGAAUGAUGAAGUAUUUCGGUAUGUAAAGUUCUUUUAUUUGGGAAGAAAAAACAAAUUGACGGUACCAAAUGAAUAAGCCCCGGCUAACUACGUGCCAGCAGCCGCGGUAAUACGUAGGGGGCAAGCGUUAUCCGGAAUUAUUGGGCGUAAAGGGUGCGUAGGCGGGUUAUCAAGUCUUUGGUUAAAAUGCGGUGCUCAACGCCGUAGUGCCAAAGAAACUGAUAGUCUAGAGUAUGGUAGAAGUGAGUGGAACUCCAUGUGUAGCGGUAAAAUGCGUAAAUAUAUGGAAGAACACCAGUGGCGAAGGCGGCUCACUAGGCCAAUACUGACGCUGAGACACGAAAGCGUGGGGAGCAAACAGGAUUAGAUACCCUGGUAGUCCACGCCCUAAACGAUGAGUACUAAGUGUAGCCAGAAGGCUGUGCUGAAGUUAACGCAUUAAGUACUCCGCCUGAGUAGUACGUACGCAAGUAUGAAACUUAAAGGAAUUGACGGGAUCCCGCACAAGCGGUGGAGCAUGUUGUUUAAUUCGACGAUACGCGAAGAACCUUACCAGGUCUUGACAUACUCGGCAAAUCUAUAGAGAUAUAGAGGAGGUUAACCGGGAUACAGGUGGUGCAUGGUUGUCGUCAGCUCGUGUCGUGAGAUGUUAGGUUAAGUCCUGCAACGAGCGCAACCCUUAUUGCUAGUUACCAUCAUUAAGUUGGGGACUCUAGCGAGACUGCCGGUGAUAAACCGGAGGAAGGCGGGGAUGACGUCAAAUCAUCAUGCCCUUUAUGACCUGGGCUACAAACGUGCUACAAUGGCUGACACAAAGAGAAGCGAGCUCGCGAGAGUAAGCAAACCUCAGAAAAGCAGUCUCAGUUCGGAUUGAAGUCUGCAACUCGACUUCAUGAAGUUGGAAUCGCUAGUAAUCGCGAAGCAGAGUGUCGCGGUGAAUACGUUCCCGGGAUUUGUACACACCGCCCGUCAAACCAUGAGAGUUUGUAAUACCCGAAGCCGGUGGCCGAACCGCAAGGAAGGAGCCGUCUAAGGUAGGACAGAUGAUUGGGGUUAAGUCGUAACAAGGUAUCCCUACGAGAACGUGGGGAUG